UGUUGGCCGGGCGACGGUUGUCCCGGUUUAAGCGUGUAGGCUGGUUUUCCAGGCAAAUCCGGAAAACCAAGGCUGAGGCGUGAUGACGAGGCACUACGGUGCUGAAGUGACAAAUGCCCUGCUUCCAGGAAAAGCCUCUAAGCAUCAGGUAACAUCAAAUCGUACCCCAAACCGACACAGGUGGUCAGGUAGAGAAUACCAAGGCGCUUGAGAGAACUCGGGUGAAGGAACUAGGCAAAAUGGUGCCGUAACUUCGGGAGAAGGCACGCUGAUAUGUAGGUGAAGCGACUUGCUCGUGGAGCUGAAAUCAGUCGAAGAUACCAGCUGGCUGCAACUGUUUAUUAAAAACACAGCACUGUGCAAACACGAAAGUGGACGUAUACGGUGUGACGCCUGCCCGGUGCCGGAAGGUUAAUUGAUGGGGUUAGCGGCAACGCGAAGCUCUUGAUCGAAGCCCCGGUAAACGGCGGCCGUAACUAUAACGGUCCUAAGGUAGCGAAAUUCCUUGUCGGGUAAGUUCCGACCUGCACGAAUGGCGUAAUGAUGGCCAGGCUGUCUCCACCCGAGACUCAGUGAAAUUGAACUCGCUGUGAAGAUGCAGUGUACCCGCGGCAAGACGGAAAGACCCCGUGAACCUUUACUAUAGCUUGACACUGAACAUUGAGCCUUGAUGUGUAGGAUAGGUGGGAGGCUUUGAAGUGUGGACGCCAGUCUGCAUGGAGCCGACCUUGAAAUACCACCCUUUAAUGUUUGAUGUUCUAACGUUGGCCCCUGAUCGGGGUUGCGGACAGUGUCUGGUGGGUAGUUUGACUGGGGCGGUCUCCUCCUAAAGAGUAACGGAGGAGCACGAAGGUUGGCUAAUCCUGGUCGGACAUCAGGAGGUUAGUGCAAUGGCAUAAGCCAGCUUGACUGCGAGCGUGACGGCGCGAGCAGGUGCGAAAGCAGGUCAUAGUGAUCCGGUGGUUCUGAAUGGAAGGGCCAUCGCUCAACGGAUAAAAGGUACUCCGGGGAUAACAGGCUGAUACCGCCCAAGAGUUCAUAUCGACGGCGGUGUUUGGCACCUCGAUGUCGGCUCAUCACAUCCUGGGGCUGAAGUAGGUCCCAAGGGUAUGGCUGUUCGCCAUUUAAAGUGGUACGCGAGCUGGGUUUAGAACGUCGUGAGACAGUUCGGUCCCUAUCUGCCGUGGGCGCUGGAGAACUGAGGGGGGCUGCUCCUAGUACGAGAGGACCGGAGUGGACGCAUCACUGGUGUUCGGGUUGUCAUGCCAAUGGCACUGCCCGGUAGCUAAAUGCGGAAGAGAUAAGUGCUGAAAGCAUCUAAGCACGAAACUUGC
rnacentral:rRNA from 1 species